GACGAACGCUGGCGGCGUGCCUAAUACAUGCAAGUAGAACGCACAGUUUAUACCGUAGCUUGCUACACCAUAGACUGUGAGUUGCGAACGGGUGAGUAACGCGUAGGUAACCUGCCUGGUAGCGGGGGAUAACUAUUGGAAACGAUAGCUAAUACCGCAUAAUAUUAAUUAUUGCAUGAUAAUUAAUUGAAAGGUGCAAUUGCACCACUACCAGAUGGACCUGCGUUGUAUUAGCCAGUAGGUGAGGUAACGGCUCACCUAGGCGACGAUACAUAGCCGACCUGGGAGGGUGAUCGGCCACACUGGGACUGAGACACGGCCCAGACUCCUACGGGAGGCAGCAGUAGGGAAUCUUCGGCAAUGGACGAAAGUCUGACCGAGCAACGCCGCGUGAGUGAAGAAGGUUUUCGGAUCGUAAAGCUCUGUUGUAAGAGAAGAACGGGUGUGAGAGUGGAAAGUUCACACUGUGACGGUAUCUUACCAGAAAGGGACGGCUAACUACGUG
rnacentral:rRNA from 1 species